rnacentral:rRNA from 1 species
CCCUAUGGGGUGCACCAGGCGGUUUUGUAAGCCAGAUGUGAAAUCCCCGGGCUUAACCUGGGAACUGCGUUUGGAACUACAAGGCUAGAGUGUGUCAGAGGGGGGUAGAAUUCCACGUGUAGCAGUGAAAUGCGUAGAGAUGUGGAGGAAUACCGAUGGCGAAGGCAGCCCCCUGGGAUAACACUGACGCUCAUGCACGAAAGCGUGGGGAGCAAACA